AGAUGCAUCCAGAAAGAAAACUCGGCAGAGGAUCUGAGUUAAGAUGUUGUCUGAAGACUGAACCGGGAAGACAGUGGACUUUCUCCGCGGUAAAGAGCAAAACUUCAGCUUAAAAGGAUUUGCUUGCUUUCUUUGGCUAUUACCUUCUACCUGACUUACCACCGAAGUGAAGUUAGACCUACAGAGGAGACGUUAAAUCAGAAAUGUCUCUACACUGAUAGCAAAUCUCUGCAAUAAUGCUAACAAGCCGCAAGACCUGAUUUUUCACCUAUCCUGGUAUUAUGCUGAUGUCAUCUAAUUGAUUUCAAUGGAUUACUCUGGUCAACCUAGUGUCAGGCUCAGAGGCUAUAGUAAGUACUUGCAUGUUGCUUAACAUCAAAGCGUUACCUUUCAGUACAGGCACCCUCCCUCAUCC
rnacentral:lncRNA from 1 species